AUUGAACGCUGGCGGCGUGCUUAACACAUGCAAGUCGUGCGGUAACAGGCGUAGCAAUACGUGCUGACGAGCGGCGAACGGGUGCGUAAUACAUGGGAAUCUGCCCUUUAGUGGGGAAUAACCCGGCGAAAGCCGGGCUAAUGCCGCAUAAGAUCUUCGGAUGAAAGCGGGGGAUCGUAAGACCUCGCGCUGAUGGAUGAGCCCACGCCGGAUUAGCUAGNGGUGAGGUAACGGCUCACCAAGGCGACGAUCCGUAGCUGGUCUGAGAGGACGGCCAGCCACACUGGGACUGAGACACGGCCCAGACUCCUACGGGAGGCAGCAGUGGGAAUAUUGGACAAUAGGGGAAACCCUGAUCCAGCGACGCCGCGUGUGUGAAGAAGGCCUGGCGGGUUAGUAAAGCACUUUCGGUGGGAACGAAAUAUGCCGGGCUAACUACCCGGUACGGCUGACGUUACUCAAUGAAGAAGCACCGGCUAACU
rnacentral:rRNA from 1 species